AGUACAUAACUUUCGCCUUGUAUGUUUUGAGUUUUCUCCUUUUUGUACGUAAGGAAAUCACUGUUUUACUUUGGUGGCAUAAAUCU
rfam:Arabis alpina cultivar Pajares chromosome 4, whole genome shotgun sequence.